rnacentral:lncRNA from 1 species
AGCAACAUUAUUAUAAUGCAGACAAAAUUUCACUAGCUCCUUAAACUUUGCGACAUGCUCUGCAACCUUCGAAUUUCCUUGAUUUAACUCAAGGAAUUCAAUCUCCUUCUUGCUAUGCACAUCCUCAGGAAAGUGUUUCUUCAAAAACUGCACUAUAAACAUCCCUUUUAUAAUUCAUUUUUCCCCAGCUGAGGUGUUCAUAUUUUUCACUCCCUAGUUUAUGACUUGAUGAAUGAACUCUGGAUAUCUCGGAACCUUUAUUUGGUUUCCAGAUCCCCAAUGCAUCUUGGUGUGUUGCUUAGCCGCGACAGUUUUUCCCCUGCAUAAGUUGACAAAUUCGGUCACGAUAUCUCUAGCAAUCUGCCAUGGGCCCAAACCAGGUUUGAGCUUGACAAUGCAUUUGAACGUGCAACCAAGUCCAGUCUGUCUUUGUGUUCUUCGCGCAAGCUGAAGCGGAAACGGAAAAGUGAUUAUUCAAUAGAGCUUCUGCGAUGCGUGAUCCUUUCUUCGCGUCGACGUCUAUUCACCAUCAACCUCGAAUCCAUGGUGCUUCAGUCCAAACAAUAAGAAGAGAUUGAAUCCAAUAGAAAUUCGUUCGUCCCGACCUCGCUUUCAUCAAUCGUCAUAAUUUGAAGAUUCGGAAAUUCACGAAUUUGAUUUACCCUGCUACGUGCGCAAACAGAAGGAAAAAACGAAAAGCUUUGAAUCUAAGACUCACCUGGUAUUGAACUUUUUCGUUUAGUUUCCGC